rnacentral:tRNA from 1 species
UCUCUGUUAGUAUAUCGGUUAGUACACGCGCCUGUCAAUAGCUUACCGAUCGCGCGAAAGCUGGGUUCGACUCCCAGACAGAGAG